AGAGUUUGAUCAUGGCUCAGGAUGAACGCUAGCGGGAGGCCUAACACAUGCAAGCCGAGCGGUAUUGUUUCUUCGGAAAUGAGAGAGCGGCGUACGGGUGCGGAACACGUGUGCAACCUGCCUUUAUCUGGGGGAUAGCCUUUCGAAAGGAAGAUUAAUACUCCAUAAUAUAUUGAUUGGCAUCAAUUAAUAUUGAAAGCUCCGGCGGAUAGAGAUGGGCACGCGCAAGAUUAGCUAGUUGGUGAGGUAACGGCUCACCAAGGCGAUGAUCUUUAGGGGGCCUGAGAGGGUGAUCCCCCACACUGGUACUGAGACACGGACCAGACUCCUACGGGAGGCAGCGGUGAGGAAUAUUGGUCAAUGGGUGCAAGCCUGAACCAGCCAUCCCGCGUGAAGGACGACUGCCCUAUGGGUUGUAAACUUCUUUUGUAUAGGGAUAAACCUACCCUCGUGAGGGUAGCUGAAGGUACUAUACGAAUAAGCACCGGCUAACUCCGUG
rnacentral:rRNA from 1 species